AUUGAACGCUAGCGGGAUGCUUUACACCUGCAAGUCGAACGAGUGGCGGACGGGUGAGUAAUAUAUCGGAACGUGCCCAAUAGCGGGGGAUAAAUACUCGAAAGAGUGGCUAAUACCGCAUACUCUUGGAGCGGCCGAUAUCGGAGUAUCUAGUUGGUGGGGUAAAGGAUCACCAAGGCAACGAUCCGUAGCGGGUGUGAGAGGAAGACCAGCCAGACUGGGACUGAGACACGGCCCAGACUCCUACGGGAGGCAGCAGUGGGGAAUUUUGGACAAUGGGGGAAACCCUGAUCCAGCCAUCCCGCGUGUAUGAGAAGGCCUUCGGGUUGUAAAGUACUUUUGGCAGAGAAGCGUUAUCUGCAGAAUAAGCACCGGCUAACGACGUGCCAGCAGCCGCGGUAAUUC
rnacentral:rRNA from 1 species